CAGUAGCGUAUAUUAAAGUUGUUGCAAGUUAAAAAGCUCGUAGUUGGUAUUUCUGACUUCAAACCACCCUCGACCCCUCCCUCGCUAGAGGUGUGUGUGCCGGAGUGUUUGUAUCAUCCUUUCAGUGAUCGGUUCUACCCUUAACCGGGUCGGAACUGUUAACUGGAUCUUUUACUUUGAAGAAAUUGGAGUGUUUAAAGCAGGCUUACGCCAGAACAUAUUAGCAUGGAAUAAUAAUUUAGGACUUUUGUUCUAUUUUGUUGGUUUCUAGGACGAAAGUAAUGAUUGAUAGGGAUAGUUGGGGGUGCUAGUAUUCGGGCGGGCCAGAGGUGAAAUUCUUUGAUCCGCUGAAGACUAACUUAUGCGAAAGCAUUCACCAAGGAUGUCUUCUUUAAUCAAGAACGAAAGUUGGGGGAUCGAAGACGAUU
rnacentral:rRNA from 1 species